CUAAGUUUGAUGGCGACCGGCGCACGGGUGAGUAACACGUAUCCAACCUGCCUCAUACUCGGGGAUAGCCUUUCGAAAGAAAGAUUAAUAUCCGAUAGCAUAUAUUUCCCGCAUGGGUUUUAUAUUAAAGAAAUUCGGUAUGAGAUGGGGAUGCGUUCCAUUAGUUUGUUGGGGGGUAACGGCCCACCAAGACUACGAUGGAUAGGGGUUCUGAGAGGAAGGUCCCCCACAUUGGAACUGAGACACGGUCCAAACUCCUACGGGAGGCAGCAUG
rnacentral:rRNA from 1 species